CCACUGGGCUAUAGAAUGAUGUCAAGGGCUGGAGAGGGAGGCUACAGAGUGGGUCUAGGUCCAGGUACAGUCUCAGAACCACACUGCAAAACUGGCUUAGUCAGGUAGCUGCUGUAUCUGCUGCUUCCACUGUGAACUCAAAAACCACAUUGCCUGUGCUGCAGGCCGGAAAGCUGCUGAACCAGGAAGCUGUGCUGAUGCUGCUGACUGCCCCUGAGGUUAGAGAUUGACUAGACAUAGUGCCACUGUCAUCCCUGCUGGAGAAGGUCCGAAGCACCUCCACCUCUGUGCUUCCAGAGGGGCACUGUGGUGGCCACUUAAAAUGCUCAGGCUAUACCAUGCACUAGAGCAUCUACCUGGGCAAGGGAUAUGCUGUAUGACACUCUCCUGAUGCUGGGCAUGGCUGUGAGCCAAAGCACCCAGGCAGCCCUGCCAUCAGAAGGGUAAACCACGGACACCUGAUGCCUUCCUGAAGGAAGAGCACUACGCCUGCCAAACCAUCAAGCGUUGAUGCUCCAGCGCCUUCUACCCGUGGUUCUCCAGCCUCAGCAGAAGAGAGAGAAAUUGAUGACCCUGUCGUUGUAGCAUCCCCAUCACCCAGCAAUUAAUUUUAGUUCAAUGCUUCAAACGCUCUUCAGGCGCAGUGUGCGUUCAGCUGUGUCAGCUAAUGCAAAUGGGGGAUCUCAGAAGUCUUAAUGAAGUAACUAUCCCUGAACACUGGGAUCAAUACUCAGCAUCCAGCUGUCAAAUCAACACCAAGAAUGUCCAGUGCUAGGAGACUCAUAAGUUGGAGAGAAACGGCCUGAUUUAUAGAAACUGAGCGAGACUCCGGACCACCUGAUGCAGAGAAACCUGUGACCUGAAAAAGUCUAUUUGUGUUUCCUCUAGGAAUCUCGGCCAAGAAGACAGGGACAAGCUCCCAACUCUGACUACCCCUUUUACAGGGAAAAAAAAAAAAUCCCGUGCCUUCUUUGCAGCAAGUGACAAAUCCUUGUCAUAUCGAGAUGGCUUUUCCUCCUCCUCUUCAAACAUCUUUUAGCAGCAACAGCAGCUCAAGUAACUGGAAUUAUUUCAGAGUUAAAAUGCAGGCUUUGUAGACCCUCUUAGACAGACAGAUUCAAUUUCAAAGGAAACUUCUUUGGCUGGGUACUCAGUGAGUGUUACACAGGGAUUUGGGGAGUUAAUAUUCACUGUUUCUGUUGUUGGAGAAAAGGAAAGCAGAGUUGCUCUUUCUCAUUACUCUCCCCAACGCACAUCUGUUUCCUCUCGUAUCUUGGAAUUAGGAAGAUGGAGGAGACUUAAGUGGUGACCCACCUAGCCUCCUGAUGCAUGCUGGGCUCACUUUAAAACUCCCAAAACAGAUGGCAGUUGAUCACGGUUUUAAAGAUCCCAGCAUAGACUUUCUGCAGCCUCCCUUGUUAGCCACUAUCAGCGCUUAACAUUCUGUCAUCUGAAUAACUCCUUAAAAAUGAUAGCAAUGGUAGUAGAAAUUUAAAAGGAACCUCCCAAAAAACAUGCAAAAGCUUACCACCCCAGUAAAUCACCCGCAACAAUGUCGCAACAGUUUAAAUUUACUGCAGAGAGAGCUGAAGUUUAGGAGACACAGCUUUAUAAUAUUUUUGAGAGAUAGUUGAGUGCAAAUGAGUCCUGUUCCUCUUGCAUCAGGGCCUGCUCCACUGAGUCAUCCUGCCUUCAGAAGCUUCCAGCUAAGUGGCAGGCCCCGGCCAUAGGCUCCCUGUGUCCCCAGCCUCCAGAGAACACACAAUGUUCUCAUCGCCCUUAGCUCCAUUCCAGAAGGGGCCUGCAGUUCUGCAGCUUAUCAGGGGUCUACUGGGAAGUGAGAUGUCACUGUCCCUUUCUGGCCCUGCAUUGUCUGUGAGUGGCUCUCCUGGAUUAAGAGUUGGCAAAGUAUGGCCAGUGGCCAGGACUGGCCUGCUGCCUGUUUUUGUUUAACCCGUGAGCUAAGAAUAGUUUUUACCUAUUUUAAGUAGUUGAAAAAAAAAUCAAGAGAAGAAUACUAUUUCGUGAUAUGUGAAAAAUCACAUGAAAUUCAAAUGUAAGUGUCCAUAAAUAAAGUCUUACUGGAAGACAGCCUUGCUCAUUUAUUUCUGUCUCAUUCGCUACUGUCUGCGGCUGCCUUCACGCUACAAUGGCAGUACUGAGUAGUUGUGACGGGCACUGUAUGACAGCAAAUCCUAAAGUAUUUGCCAUCUGGCCCUUCACAGAAAAAGUUUGCUGACCCUGGCUUUCGAGCCUCUCAUCACUUUGGGAUUCAUCUCUUUACUUUCCCCAGAGUGAGGGAGGCAGUAACGUUCCUCGUGAGUGCUUAGUCCUUGCUCCCAAGGCAAUAAACCCCCCAAAACCCCUCUCUUUCUGCAGUCUUCUUGUUGGCUUGAUAGUGGUAGGGCUGGUUCAGCCAAGGUCACAGUUGGAGGGCAGGAAGGGGGUACAGCGAAGGACGACGGGGGUGUCUUCUCUAGUCCUGUUUGCAGCAAUCUUUAGAAUGCAAAAUAAUUAAGAAGAAACUGCUGUUUUUUGGCUGUGGGAUGCAAUUCGAAUUCUGGAAAAUUAGAAUCAACAGAACGUGGGAUGUGGGAGUCCAGGACAACUCCCCUGUUUUGGCUGUGUUUGGUGCCAUGUGUGGAGGUGGGAGAGAUGGGAGAAAGAAGAGGUUUGGGCAGGGGGAGGGAAGAAUCAAGAUUCUGCUUUGAAUGGACGAAGGUUGUGGUUUGUUGAGAGGACAACUAGAUAACUGGCCACUUGAAGAUGGGAUGGAAGUCUGAAUCUGCAAGGAGUCACAGAUGAAUGGUAUGGAAAGCUGUGGUAGUGGAUGAGAUCAUACGAACGGUGGGUGCAGAUGGAAACGAGAAGCCAUCUAAGGACUCGUAAUGGGCUCCUCAACACUUGGAAGUUGGGUAGAGGAAGAAGACCGCAUGAGGGCAGGAUCCUGAAUGUUCCACUCACUGCUAUAUCCCUAGCACUGGUUACAGUGCUUGGCACACACUGCAUGCUCAAUAAAUUAUUUGUUGCCCAUAUAAGUGAACGUGAAUUCCAAUGGACUAGCAUCUUCCACUCUCAACAUAAACAAAAACAACAGCAACAUUGCAAUUCCCUAUCUUCUCUUCCCUGAUCUCUUUCUCAUUCUGUCUCUCCUUCCCUUUUCCUCUGCCUUCCUGUUGCCUUCUCUGAUAUGAGUUAAAUUUAUCAGGGGUGUCCAGGUACCCGGCUAUUCUUGAGCAUUCCUUAUCUGGCUACAACUCUGGGUGACACUGGUUACUAGUUUAGUGAACGAGCCAACAUAUAUUCUUCUUUUUGUCUACAUAGUUUUUUUUAAUGUUAAACUUGUUCCUAUUGCACCUCACUCUUUAUGAACUGUCAGUUAAUGCUAUUUUGGCUCUAUUCCUACCUUAGACGGAUGCUUGACAACUUGGUGUCAUCUGACCUUAAUUAGGACAUUCUUGGUUAAGACAUUGUUGGUGUAAAGAGAGAGA
rnacentral:lncRNA from 1 species